rnacentral:rRNA from 1 species
GACGAACGCUGGCGGCGUGCUUAACACAUGCAAGUCGAACGGAAAGGCCCUGCUUUUGUGGGGUGCUCGAGUGGCGAACGGGUGAGUAACACGUGAGUAACCUGCCCUUGACUUUGGGAUAACUUCAGGAAACUGGGGCUAAUACCGGAUAGGAGCUCCUGCUGCAGGGUGGGGGUUGGAAAGUUUCGGCGGUCGGGGAUGGACUCGCGGCUUAUCAGCUUGUUGGUGGGGUAGUGGCUUACCAAGGCUUUGACGGGUAGCCGGCCUGAGAGGGUGACCGGCCACAUUGGGACUGAGAUACGGCCCAGACUCCUACGGGAGGCAGCAGUGGGGAAUAUUGCACAAUGGGCGGAAGCCUGAUGCAGCAACGCCGCGUGCGGGAUGACGGCCUUCGGGUUGUAAACCGCUUUCGCCUGUGACGAAGCGUGAGUGACGGUAAUGGGUAAAGAAGCACCGGCUAACUACGUG